ACAUUUAGGUCAGUCUUGAGGAAAUGGCAGCUGGUUCCUCCGACACUUGCAUAACUGCAAGAGGGCUUCUGGAGAGGUUUCAGAAGGGGCAGAUUUUGUUUAGCCUUGUUAUGGCCCUUGAAGUUCUUAAAGAACUUGAAUGUCUCAACCGCUCCCUUCAGAGCAAGACAGUGAGUGUCUCAGGGAUGCUGGCUGCGGUUGAUUGUGUGAAAAACACAAUUCGAGUAAAGAGAUCUGAUGAAACAUUUCAUCAUAUAUAUACCAGAGCGUGUGAUAUGAUCCAGGAGUUGGACAUUGAGGCUAUCCAGACUCCUCGCAUCCGGAGACCCCCAAAGCGCUUUGCAGGAAAUGCACCUGCAUUUAGACCUACUUCCCCUGAGAAGUUCUACAGAAUAGAAUUCUUCAAAAUGGUGGAUGCAGUUGAGGUCCAGUUGACGAAGCGCUUUGACCAGAGCAGCUUCCGUACACUAAAUGAACUGGAAAAGGUUUUAAUCACUGGAAAGGUGGAGGAUGUUGUCAGUUCUUACCCAGAACUAGACCGGUAUUCAUUAGAGGUACAGCUGGCAAUGGUUAAACUACAGUAUCCCUGCAACACAGUAAGUGAAGUAGUAGAUACCCUGAGAGCUAUGCUGCCAGAGGUCUGUGGUUUAUUCACACAAGUAGAAGUGUUAGUUAGGCUUCUUCUUGUUGUGCCAUGCUCCUCAGCAGAAGCAGAAAGAAGUUUUAGUGCCUUGAGAAGGCUUAAGACGUGGCUCCGCUCUUCCAUGACUCAACAGCGUUUGAACAAUGUGGCUGUUUGCCACAUCCACCAAGAAAAACUUGAUCAAGUUGACAUACGGGAGAUUUGCCAGUCUUUUGUGUCUGCAAAUGACAAAAGAGGUGCCACUUUCAGAGCCUUUGUAUGAUCUCAGCUAAAUACUUUUGUUCUAAUUAUAAAAAUCCAGCUGUAAGCAUAAUACAGAGAAUAGGGUGUGGUAGAAGAUAUGUAAACAGAAAAACACUCACACAAACACCAUCUUUUCACUGUGUGCCUCUCUAUAUCUCUCUAACACAAACACUAUGCUCUAUCACACUCUCUAACACAUACACACACACUAUGUUCUCCCUACCUCUCUCAAACACACACACUAUGCUCUCUCUAUCUCACUCUCAAAAACACACACACAUUAUGUUCUCCCUACCUCUCCCUCAGACACACACACACAGGCACACCAUCCUCUCUCAUGUGGUUGAAAAUGGUUGGACAAAAAACUCAUCAAUAAAUGUAUAAUGUGUAAAUCCUCCUUUUAAGUCUUUUGCUCUCAUUAAAUGGAGAAUAAAGUGCCAAAGCUGUCAGUGUCAGUCCUCUGUGUAUUACACCAAAACAUUAUCCUGGCUAUCACCAGACCAAGCUCAAUCUUAUUUAAGAUUGCAGAUCGAAUGGGUUUACCCAGUCUACCAGAACAUAAUAGUAGCCAGUAAUUGCAGACCAUGCCGACUCCAAGGAAAAACAAUGAAAGAGAU